rnacentral:sRNA from 1 species
GUCGCACUCUCCUUGAGGCGGCGGUUACCGGCCACAACCCUUGGCGGAGCCUGCCUGCAGGCCUCCCGAGGAACCCAGACAGCUGCAGCCGCAGCUCCCCGUAUCAAGAAAUUUGCCAUCUAUCGAUGGGACCCAGACAAGGCUGGAGACAAACCUCAUAUGCAGACUUAUGAAGUUGACCUUAAUAAAUGUGGCCCCAUGGUAUUAGAUGCUUUAAUCAAGAUUAAGAAUGAAGUUGACUCUACUUUGACCUUCCGAAGAUCAUGCAGAGAAGGCAUCUGUGGCUCUUGUGCAAUGAACAUCAAUGGAGGCAACACUCUAGCUUGCACCCGAAGGAUUGACACCAACCUCAAUAAGGAUUUGAGCAACUUCUAUGCACAAUACAAAUCCAUUGAGCCUUAUUUGAAGAAGAAGGAUGAAUCUCAGGAAGGCAAGCAGCAGUAUCUGCAGUCCAUAGAAGAGCGUGAGAAACUGGACGGGCUCUAUGAGUGCAUUCUCUGUGCCUGCUGUAGCACCAGCUGCCCCAGCUACUGGUGGAACGGAGACAAAUAUCUGGGGCCUGCAGUUCUUAUGCAGGCCUAUCGCUGGAUGAUUGACUCCAGAGACGACUUCACAGAGGAGCGCCUGGCCAAGCUGCAGGACCCAUUCUCUCUAUACCGCUGCCACACCAUCAUGAACUGCACAAGGACCUGUCCCAAG